rnacentral:ncRNA from 2 species
CGCUCAUCCAGAGGAGCUGAGGGACCGGCCCUACGACGCUCCGGCAACCAUCCGUUCUGCCACCUCAUCGUGGCACGGCGCGGUGCCAACUCCGGCCCACCCGGCAGCCGCCGAGCCGUGGGAAAGAUGAGGA